rnacentral:rRNA from 1 species
GAUGAACGCUGGCGGCGUGCUUAACACAUGCAAGUCGAACGAUGAAGCCCAGCUUGCUGGGUGGAUUAGUGGCGAACGGGUGAGUAACACGUGAGUAACCUGCCCUUAACUCUGGGAUAAGCCUGGGAAACUGGGUCUAAUACCGGAUAGGAGCGUCCACCGCAUGGUGGGUGUUGGAAAGAUUUAUCGGUUUUGGAUGGACUCGCGGCCUAUCAGCUUGUUGGUGAGGUAAUGGCUCACCAAGGCGACGACGGGUAGCCGGCCUGGGAGGGGGACCGGCCACACUGGGACUGAGACACGGCCCAGACUCCUACGGGAGGCAGCAGGGGGGAGUAUUGCACAAUGGGCGCGAGCGUGAUGCAGCGGCGCCGCGUGAGGGAUGACGGCCUUCGGGUUGUAAACCUCUUUCAGUAGGGAAGAAGCGAAAGUGACGGUACCUGCAGAAGAAGCACCGGCUAACUACGUG